CUUGGGUAGAACACUGGCUUAAAAACAGAGUACAAAGAGUUGUCAUUAAUGGUGAAUUUUCAAGCUGGACAGAGGUGGCAAGUGGUGUCCCUCAGGGGUCUGUUCUGGGACCCCUUCUAUUUAACAUGUUUAUAAAUGAUCUUGAAGACCGCAUUGAAAGUCAUGUUUGCAGAUGACACCAAACUUUGUAAAACAAUACAAUGUGAGCAAGAUAUUACUUUGCUG